rnacentral:lncRNA from 1 species
CUAAACCCAAUUAACCUGAGCCCAAACACUAAACCCAAACUAACCUAAUGGCCCGAUGGCCCAACACCUAGCCUAACAGAGACCAAAACCCUAGCAGCAUUCGGCUCCCAGCGCCGCAGCAACCAGGACCCAUCACCUGCCCUUGCGCGUGCGCCACCACAACAGUAGCCUCACAUACACUACCACGCACGCCUCCACGCCACGCGCCUCCGUACACUGUACUUGCAAAGGAAACGAAGACAACGUAGCACACAAAAGAACAAAAAGGAAGAAAAGAAAACAAAAAGAAAACAGCAAAAAAAGAAAAAAGAACAGAAAAGAGGAUGUAUUUUUUUCUCUUUGAUUUUUAUUCCGUAUUUUCGGCUUUAUAAAGCCAUUAAACCGAAUUUGUAAGGGCUUACACAUUCAAUAUACAUUUUCAGAAUACAAAAUCAAAAAAACUCGAAAAGGUGAUUUCUGGGUUCUAUUUCUUUUGCAGAUUGUUCAUUCAUUUCUUUUCUUUUUUUCGUUUUGCAUUUAUCGGUCGCUUAUUCAGGAAAGAAACAAUCAAUAGUAAAAGGGGAGAGACUCACCUGACGACUGCAUCUUCCUUCUCUCCGUCGUCACCGGAGUUGAGGGGGGAUCGGGCCUGGGAAACUGAUUCGUCGAGCGGUGCCAUGGGUGUGC